rnacentral:rRNA from 1 species
GAUGAACGCUGGCGGCGUGCCUAAUACAUGCAAGUCGAGCGAACGGACGAGAAGCUUGCUUCUUUGACGUUAGCGGCGGACGGGUGAGUAACACGUGGAUAACCUACCUAUAAGACUGGGAAAACUUCGGGAAACCGGAGCUAACACCGGAUAAUAUUUUGAACCGCAUGGUUCAAAAGUGAAAGACGGUCUUGCUGUCACUAAUAGAUGGAUCCGCGCUGCAUUAGCUAGUUGGUAAGGUAACGGCUUACCAAGGCAACGAUGCAUAGCCGACCUGAGAGGGUGAUCGGCCACACUGGAACUGAGACACGGUCCAGACUCCUACGGGAGGCAGCAGUAGGGAAUCUUCCGCAAUGGGCGAAAGCCUGACGGAGCAACGCCGCGUGAGUGAUGAAGGUCUUCGGAUCGUAAAACUCUGUUAUUAGGGAAGAACAUAUGUGUAAGUAACUGUGCACAUCUUGACGGUACCUAAUCAGAAAGCCACGGCUAACUACGUG